rnacentral:lncRNA from 1 species
AUUUUCCUCUAGAACACCGGGGUGGAGCUGUUGGAGCCCUAAGUGGCUCUAAAUCAGGAAUGUGGGAUCACAACUCUUAUCCUCGAAGCAUAAAAAAAUUGUGGUCCCUGAACCACUUCACGGGGGCAUUAAAUAGCCUUCGUGCAUCACAGGGUCACCCCUGUAUGAGGCUAGUCUCCAGUAGAGAAUGCUAACUAGUAAUCAACAUAUCGUGCUAUUUUUUCAAAAGGCUGCUAGUCACCAGCCUUAUGGGGGAGGGAGUUCAAACAGAAGAAGCUUAUGGAAACAAGAAUGUGGGCGCACGCGCGCGCGUACACACACACACACAAAUUCUUUAUCUUUUCACUUUGUAGAUGAUAAAGGUCUAUUUUUACCUGUGAUUUUUUUUUUCAAAAGCUUGCUUGUCUUUUCCUAGUUCUCUUAUAUUAGCAGUAUUCUAAAGGAGAACUCAUUUUUUUUUUCUCUCAAAAUAAGUAGUUUCUCCCACUUGGUUUUAACAUUAACAUUUCAUUUGCAUCUUAUGAAUCAACAGCAAGGCUAGGACAUGACAAAAGCCUUUUAACUGUAUUCCAUGAGCUAAGCUUGGCUGAACUGCUUAACAUGGUCAUGAGAUCUAUAGAUUCCUUUAUAGAAUUGUUUUUCUUUAACUGUAGUGCAUUUCUUUAACUGUGUGUAUUAGAACAGAUCAUCCCAAUUGUGAUCUUUAACCUGGAUCCUUCUGACUCUCUAGUGAACCUCUUUUAUCUUGGGUGGGACUUAUUACUCCAUACAUGUUAAAAAAGCUCUUCUUUGGGAAGAGCUGUCUGAUUUAGGUUCUGACAGUAACUGUAUGAUCAUGGUGAACUCAUUUAACUUCUUGAAGCCUGGGUUUCCUCACUUGUAAAAAGUGAGAACAAUUGUCUCACUGUAUUUUUGUAUUAAGUGAGAUCACACAUUUAACUAACCAAACAUGGUAGAAGGAGCUUGGGCAUGGGGAAUAAACAGAGCCUUGUCU